GGAGGAAGGUGGGGAUGACGUCAAGUCAUCAUGGCCCUUACGACCAGGGCUACACACGUGCUACAAUGGCGCAUACAAAGAGAAGCGACCUCGCGAGAGCAAGCGGACCUCAUAAAGUGCGUCGUAGUCCGGAUUGGAGUCUGCAACUCGACUCCAUGAAGUCGGAAUCGCUAGUAAUCGUGGAUCAGAAUGCCACGGUGAAUACGUUCCCGGGCCUUGUACACACCGCCCGUCACACCAUGGGAGUGGGUUGCAAAAGAAGUAGGUAGCUUAACCUUCGGGAGGGCGCUUACCACUUUGUGAUUCAUGACUGGGGUGAAGUCG
rnacentral:rRNA from 1 species